UUCCGGGAAAGCGGACACCACCAUAACUGUAGUACUUCGACUGUACUAAAGCUAGAAUAAGAUUCGAAGAUCAAUCACUGGAUAGGAAAAUAAUUAAAGGAAGCAAGUACAUAGAGAUAUGACAUCACACAAGGACCAGAGCCAUCCAAUGAGGAGAUCCGAUGAAUUCAGUACUGACGCCAGGGAGCCGGACAGGGCAGAGGAGCAUCCAGUACAAGAUGAACUCCCCCCAGCAUCCUUGAGUCCAACGUCUUCUGUGGAGGCGUCAACCUCUUCUGAUGCACGGACGAAUCA